GACUAACGCUGGCGGCGUGCUUAACACAUGCAAGUUGAACGGAGCACUUCAAGUAGCAAUACGAGGAGUGCUUAGUAGCGGACGGGUGAGUAACGCGUGAGUAACCUACCUUUGUGAGGGGGACAACAGUCGGAAACGGCUGCUAAUACCGCAUAAGACCACAGCUUCGAUUGGAGCAGGGGUAAAAGAUUUAUCGCACAAAGAUGGACUCGCGUCCCAUUAGCUAGUUGGUGAGAUAACAGCCCACCAAGGCGACGAUGGGUAGCCGACCUGAGAGGGUGAUCGGCCACACUGGAACUGAGACACGGUCCAGACUCCUACGGGAGGCAGCAGUGGGGAAUAUUGGGCAAUGGGCGCAAGCCUGACCCAGCAACGCCACGUGAGGGAAGAAGGUCUUCGGAUUGUAAACCUCUGUCCUUGGGGAAGAAUUUUGACGGUACCCAAGGAGGAAGCUCCGGCUAACUACGUGCCAGCAGCCGCGGUAAUACGUAGGGAGCGAGCGUUGUCCGGAAUUACUGGGCGUAAAGGGUGCGUAGGCGGCAAUGCAAGUCAGAUGUGAAAUCCCCGGGCUUAACUCGGGGGGUGCAUUUGAAACUGCAUUGCUUGAGUGCAGGAGAGGAAAGCGGAAUUCCUAGUGUAGCGGUGAAAUGCGUAGAUAUUAGGAAGAACACCAGUGGCGAAGGCGGCUUUCUGGACUGUAACUGACGCUGAGGCACGAAAGCGUGGGGAGCAAACAGGAUUAGAUACCCUGGUAGUUCCACGCUGUAAACGAUGGAUACUAGGUGUGGGGGACAUACAACCUCUGUGCCGGAGCUAACGCAAUAAGUAUCCCGCCUGGGAGUACGGUCGCAAGACUGAACUCAAAGGAAUUGACGGGACCCGCACAGCAGCGGAGCAUGUGGUUUAAUUCGAAGCACCGC
rnacentral:rRNA from 1 species